UACGGGGGGGGCAAGCGUUGUUCGGAAUUACUGGGCGUAAAGCGCACGUAGGCGGAUAUUUAAGUCAGGGGUGAAAUCCCAGAGCUCAACUCUGGAACUGCCUUUGAUACUGGGUAUCUCGAGUAUGGAAGAGGUGAGUGGAAUUCCGAGUGUAGAGGUGAAAUUCGUAGAUAUUCGGAGGAACACCAGUGGCGAAGGCGGCUCACUGGUCCAUUACUGACGCUGAGGUGCGAAAGCGUGGGUAGCAAACAGG
rnacentral:rRNA from 1 species